GAUCCUGGCUCAGGAUGAACGCUAGCUGCAGGCUUAACACAUGCAAGUCGAGGGGCAGCAUGUUGGUUGCUUGCAACCGAUGAUGGCGACCGGCGCACGGGUGAGUAACGCGUAUCCAACCUACCCUUGUCCAUCGGAUAACCCGUCGAAAGGCGGCCUAACACGAUAUGCGGUUCACAGCAGGCAUCUAACGUGAACGAAAUGUGAAGGAGAAGGAUGGGGAGUGCGU
rnacentral:rRNA from 1 species